rnacentral:misc_RNA from 1 species
GAUGAAGAACGUAGUGAAAUGCGAUAAGUAAUGUGAAUUGCAGAAUUCAGUGAAUCAUCGAAUCUUUGAACGCACAUUGCGCCCCCUGGCAUUCCGGGGGGCAUGCCUGUUCGAGCGUCAUUACAACCCUCAAGCUCUGCUUGGUAUUGGGCUCUGCUGGGACCGGCAGGCCUUAAAAUCAGUGGCGGCGCCACUCGGCUUCAAGCGUAGUAAUUCUUCUCGCUUCGGAGACCCGGGUGCGUGCUAGCCAGCAACCCCCAACUUUCUUAGGUUGACCUCGGAUCAGGUAGGGAUACCCGCUGAACUUAAGCAUAUCAAUAAGCGGAGGA